CAUAAGCGGAGGAAAAGAAACCAACAGGGAUUGCCUUAGUAGCGGCGAGUGAAGCGGCAAAAGCUCAAAUUUGAAAUCUGGCUCUUUCAGAGUCCGAGUUGUAAUUUGAAGAAGGUAUCUUUGGGUCUGGCUCUUGUCUAUGUUUCUUGGAACAGAACGUCACAGAGGGUGAGAAUCCCGUGCGAUGAGAUGAUCCAGGCCUAUGUAAAGUUCCUUCGAAGAGUCGAGUUGUUUGGGAAUGCAGCUCUAAGUGGGUGGUAAAUUCCAUCUAAAGCUAAAUAUUGGCGAGAGACCGAUAGCGAACAAGUACAGUGAUGGAAAGAUGAAAAGAACUUUGAAAAGAGAGUGAAAAAGUACGUGAAAUUGUUGAAAGGGAAGGGCUUGAGAUCAGACUUGGUAUUUUGUAUGUUACUUCUUCGGGGGUGGCCUCUACAGUUUAUCGGGCCAGCAUCAGUUUGGGCGGUAGGAGAAUUGCGUUGGAAUGUGGCACGGCUUCGGUUGUGUGUUAUAGCCUUCGUCGAUACUGCCAGCCUAGACUGAGGACUGCGGUUUAUACCGAGGAUGUUGGCAUAAUCUAAGAGACCC
rnacentral:rRNA from 1 species